UACGUAGGGCGCAAGCGUUAUCCGGAAUUACUGGGCGUAAAGCGUGCGCAGGCGGUGAUGUAAGACAGAUGUGAAAUCCCCGGGCUCAACUUGGGAACUGCAUUUGUGACUGCAUCGCUGGAGUGCGGCAGAGGGGGAUGGAAUUCCGCGUGUAGCAGUGAAAUGCGUAGAUAUGCGGAGGAACACCGAUGGCGAAGGCAAUCCCCUGGGCCUGCACUGACGCUCAUGCACGAAAGCGUGGGGAGCAAACAGG
rnacentral:rRNA from 1 species